GACGAACGCUGGCGGCGUGCCUAAUACAUGCAAGUCGAACGAGUGGCGGACGGGUGAGUAAUGUCUGGGAAACUGCCUGAUGGAGGGGGAUAACUACUGGAAACGGUAGCUAAUACCGCAUACCAUCGGAUGUGCCCAGAUGGGAUUAGCUUGUAGGUGGGGUAACGGCUCACCUAGGCGACGAUCCCUAGCUGGUCUGAGAGGAUGACCAGCCACACGGGAACGGAGACAAGGGCCAGACUCCUACGGGAGGCCGCAGUGGGGAAUAUUGGACAAUGGGCGAAAGCCUGAUGCAGCCAUGCCGCGUGUAUGAAGAAGGCCUUCGGGUUGUAAAGUACUUUCAGCGGGGAGGCGUUACUCGCAGAAGAAGCACCGGCUAACUCCGUGCCAGCAGCCGCGGUAAUUC
rnacentral:rRNA from 1 species